rfam:Triticum aestivum genome assembly, contig: Triticum_aestivum_CS42_TGACv1_scaffold_576818_7BL
UUAGUACUCCCUCCGUUUCAAAAUAGAUGACCCAAUUUUGUAUUAAAGUUAAUAUAAAAUUUUUAUAUUAAAGUUAAUAUAAAAUUGAGUCAUCUAUUUUGGAACGGAGGGAGUAGUAC